rnacentral:lncRNA from 10 species
AGUAACCAAUAUACUUGACAUUUAAAAAUAUUUGGCUACCAAAUUCUGUAAUGCAACACUCAAUGACUGAGUUCUAAAACACUGUUGGAGAAAGUCUGGAUAAAAGGAUUCACUGCUGCAUAACACAAACUAAGUUUCCAUCUUAAUGGUGGAAAGUCCACAUUACCCACCUAUCUCACCUUGAAUCAGCCAUUGUCAGUUUCUGUGAGGUUUGUUAUUUGCAACCCCAUUCACAGUCAAACUGAGGCAGGGCUCUUUCAGUUGCAACUGGCUGAAACCCACUCAAGCUAGAUUAAGACACAAAAUUUUAUUUUAAGGAUAAAUUAUUAUAAAUAAUUCAAAGAUAGGGAGCAGACCUAUCCUUGCAAAGCGCUAAGAUCAGGAACCAGAAAGCUAUCAGGAACUGAGGCAGCUACAGUAUCUCUGUCUGGUAUGUCAGCACUGCUUCAUGAAAGCAGACUCCGGGGUCAAAUUACUUGGGUUUUACUAUCUUUAGCACUUACUUUAAGCAAGCUUUUUAGUUUCCUUACCUGUAAUGUAAGGAUAAUAGUACAGGUUGAGCACCCCUAAUUAAAAAGCUGAUUUGCUCCAAAAUCUGAAACUUUUUAUUAUUAUGUUUUAAAUACAGCUGGGGUUUCACUAUGUUGCCCAGGCAGGUCUUGAACUCCUAGAUUCAAGCAAUCUUUCUGCCUCAUGAAACUUUCUGAGCACCCACAUGACACAGCAGGUGGAAAAUUCCACACCUGACCUUGUAUGAUGCAUCACGUGUUUCAUGCACAAAAUUACUGAAAACAUUGUAUAAAACUGCCUUCAGGCUAUGUGUAUAAGGUAUAUAUAAAGCAUAAAAUAUAAAGCAUAAAAGAAUUUCAUGUUUAGACUUGAGUACUCAUCCCCAAAUAUCUAAUUAUAUAUACGCGAAUAUUCCAAUAACCCAAAUCCUAAACACUUCUGGUCCCAACCAUUUUGGAUAAGGAAUACUAAACCUGUACCCAAAUUCACAGACUUAUAGCACUUAGAACACUGGGUGACACAGUAAGUAAUCUGAGAUUACUCUUGUUCUGUAUCACAGCUCUCAGAUUCUCCACAUGCUGCUUGCUACCAAACAAAGCAGCCCUGGCCUAAGGUUAUAUUUUCCCAGUUCAAGUGAUCAGCAGUCUGACAAGCUUCUCUCAAUCCUAAUUUUAAAUUCUCAGAAAAAUCUGAUUCAUUCAGAUAGGGUUCUGUUGUUCAACUAGCUAAAGCCAGAGGUGUUAGGUCACCUAAUGCAUUCUUAACUGCUGAGGCCCAUUCCUGAAUGUGUGUGGACGUUUCUCAGUGGUGAGGGAUCAUGAAUGAAGGCUAAAAUUUUAAAAAUGUUUUUUAUACUUCUCUCAGCUAUCUUCUGUUCUUUUAUAGUCACAAAAAGUACCCAAGUAAGUGACUUAUUCAAUGUCAUACAGCUAAUGAAAGAUGAAGCUGUGAUACAAAACUAGGUCUGAAGCUGGUCCAAAGGUAGUGAGUUAUCUCAAUUGGUUGUUCAGUCAGGUCUAGAUUGAACUCUUGUUCUACUCUUUCCCUCCUUCUCACUCCUGCACUUGACUAGUCUUAAAAAACAAACAAACUAGGUCUGAUUCCAAAUCCCAUAUUCCUUUUACCAAAUAAUGCAUUAGAGUUAUUUAUAUUUAUUGAGAAUAUAGUAUGUAGUUGACCCUGUAUUUAACCAAGCUUGAGACAGAAGACUUCAAGUAGUUAAGAAGUGGCUUUGCUGUUUUUCUUAUAUUUAGUAAUUAAAAAACACUGGAGUAUAACACAUAUAAAGUUCACAAAAAGUCAAUGUGCGGCUUGAUGAACUUUCUCAUACGCAUACACCAGUAUAACAUUCCAGAUCAAGGUAUACAUUUCCAUCACUUCAGAAGGUUCACUGUGCCCCUUCCAAGCCAAUACCAACCCCAGAAAGGUCAAUAUCAUCCUGACUUCUAUCAUCGAUUAGUUUCGCUUGUUCCUGAAUUUCAUAUAAAUGGAAUUAUACAAUAUGAAUUAUUUUGUGUUUAUUUCACUCAAUGCAAUGACUGCGAGAUUUGUCUAUGUUACUGUGUGUAGCAUUUUCUUUUUUAUUACCAGAUAAUAUUCCAUUUUAUGAAUAUGCUUCACUUUGUUCCAGUUUGGGGCUAUAAUGAAUCAAACUGCUAUGAACAUUGUUACACGAAACUUUUAGUAGCCACAUACAUUAAUUUCUCUUGCGUAUACACUCAGGAAUGAAACUGCUGAAUUACAGGGUAGGAUAAGUUCAGCUAUAAUGAAUACUGCACAUCAGUUUUCCAAAGUGGUUGUAACCAAUUUGCACCCUUACCAGCAAUAACAGUUUGUUACACUGUAAAUUGUUAACAAGAAAAAUAACAUUGCAAUCAGUCUAUUAUGCUAGUCACAUUUCUUUGUUCUGAAAAAUGUAUUUUAUUUGAGGCUCCUUUGUUACUGGUUAUAAGAAAGGGUGAGUUUUGGCUAAGCUGUUAGGUAGAGAGUAGAUCCUCAUUCAUUAGCACCCUUACCAAACCACAACUCCAAUCUGUGUAAGAUUUCACUGGAAAAUACUACCUAGCUUGCCAUCGCUUACAGCAAGUUUUUUCAACAAGGGCACUCUUGUCAUUUUGAGCCAGAUAAUUCUUUCUUAUGAGAGGAGAGGGGGCUGUGCAGUACACUGCAGGAUUUUUAACAGUAUCCUGGCCUCUAACUACUAUGUAUGAAUAGUGCCAACUCCGCAAAACCCACCCACUGGGAUGACCACAAAAAUGUUUCCAGAUUUUGGCAAAUGUUCUCUUUUGGGCGAAAUCCUCCCUACUCAAUGGCCAUUACCAACCACUGUUUUAUAAAUAGGUGUCCUGUCCUACCCACAUGUCAUCUAAACAAAACGUUAUGAGUCAAUACUGUGUUAAUAGGAUGCUGUCAAUGAUUUUUCAACAAUGGCACAUUAGAAUCACCUAGGGGAGCUUUUAAAAAAAUGCAUGUGCCAAGGCCCCACCUCAGAACCAUGGAAUAUAAUCUUGAGCAUUUUUAGUACACAACUCCUCAGUUAAUUCUAAAUUUUGGCACAGCUGAGAAUUAUGUAUCUUCUAAACAUAUUACUCUUCCCAGGAAUAUAUGCUUUAAAACAGAUUUCUAUCAAUGACUUUUCAAGCAUUAGUAGAGGAUGAAGUAUAGAUUUGUGGAACAGGAGGUUCUCAGUCUCAAAUCACACCAAUUAAGUGACCACCCAUAGCCCGUAACUGUAAAUGAUGGUAUUGUUCAGUUCCUGUUUGAAAAAAAACAAUGAAAACAAAUUCUCCCAAAUCAGACUUUGAAGAUAUUAAUGUAUUUGUUUUUUAGAUGAUUAAUAUGUGCUAAUCCUUCCACCUAAUUCUUAUACAGCAACUGGACAUUAUUCACCACUCUUUCCAUGAAGCCUUACUCAUCUUCAGUAGCGCAACACCCUGCUGGUAACUGUGUAACUCCUCCUUAUCCAGUUCAUCUUCCUCUACCUAGUCAAAAAUAAACUGGAAUUCUUCACUGCACACACUUAGGCUGUCUUCCAAGUUUACUUCAUGAAUACUCAAGACUUUAAUUUUUCCCUACACACUUCACACUUAACAGCUUUAAUUUUCAGUCUAGACUUCACUUAGCUCCAUGGUUCUAUCCAGAAACCUCCUGGGCAAUUCAAAGGCAUCAGAAAUUCUGUAAGUCUUUUUUUUUUUUUUUUUUUUUCCCAAGACAGAGUCUAGCUCUGUCGCUCAGGCUGGAAGGCAGUGUCACGAUCUCGGCUCACUGCAACCUCCGCCUCCCAGGUUCAAUCCAUUCUCCUGCCUCAGCCUCCCAAAUAGCUGGGACUACAGGUGCAUGCCACCAUGCCCGGCUAAUUUUUUAAUUUUUAAUUUUUAGUAGAGAUAGGGUUUCAACGUGUUGGCCAGGAUGGUCUCGAUCUCCUGACCUUGUGAUCCACCCGCUUUGGCCUCCCAAAGUGCUGGGAUGAGCCAUCACACCCGGCCCAAUUCUGUCUUAAACCAAACGUAAUGAUCUCCCUAUCUAUACAUCUCCAAAUACAUUACUAUAUAAGUGAAUGUCAUUCAGCUGCAAAUGACUAACAUCCCUCCUCCUCCUAACCCUGCCUGAAUCCAAUCCCAUCAAGUUUUGUUACCCUUCCCAAUUCUACUUCUCUCCACCUCCAUUACACUAUCCUAGUCUAUCAUGUCAUUUCUAACCUCUCUUAUCUGCCAAAGACUCCUGACUUAAUUAGGAAUACUGUAUCUACUUCAACCCACAUCUAAUCCUUCUUUGGGAUUUAUACCUAAAGUAAAAACUUUCAAUUUGCCAGUCCCAUCAAGCUACCACCCAGUUUCAAAUCCUUCAAUAGCUUCCUCAUUGUCUUGAAAAACAUACUUCACUUAGCCUUUGGGCCUAGUGUCUAUGUAGCCUCAUCUUGUCCAGCUGCUGUUUGCUCCAGCAGAACCAUGCUUCUUAGAGUCCCUUAUAGAUAGGAUGGCCCUGCAAUUUACUAUCCAAACCUGAACACUUCUGAAAGUGAAUACGGCCUGUUCUUGGCAAACUGGCAAGUGCACUGACGUGAUCUCUCUGACCCCAGAAUCUUUGCCCAUGUUGUUUCUUUUACCCAGAAAGCAGCUCUUGUACUUCCCUUUCUUGCCUACCUAAUUCAUAUUAAUUCUUCAGCUCUAGACCACAACGAUCACGUCACUUCCUUGAGACUUUUCUGACUAGGGUUCUUUAUUAUGGAUUCUCACAGCACCGUAUGUCUCUUCAUACUAUUUUUCUAAGUUGUCAUUUUAUAGUGUGACUGUGUCCUGAACUAGGCUUUAACUUUGAAAGUGUUAGUUUUUGCUGUAUUAUAAUCCCUCCCUACCCUCAGCAGAAUGUCUGGUAUGUAAUACAUUCUUACAUUUGUAUUGAAUGAAUAUCAAUACAAUGCACUGGGGCACAGUACUCUUUGCUCAAGGACCUCACAAUGUAGUAUGGAAACAAAUGCUAUAUUGUGAUACAAUGACAUGCCGCACUUACAGAAUACUCAAUUCCAUGUCCUAAAAGGGAGGUCAGAGAGUUUUCUGACAAGUCUUAUAGGUUGUCAGCACAAUUGUGUCAAGGUACUCAACAGUUCUUGAGCAUUUACUUAAACGAACUUAUGAAAGACUGACCCAUAAGAUAAAUGGGUUAUAUCCACUUACAAUGAGAGAUACCUUUCCAGUGACCUGAAGAAGUGUCUAGAGUACCAAGUGUCCAUUAGGAAUGAUGAGAGGCAAUACUGAGAUUAGUCUGUGAAAAAAUUAAGUAACUAAAAUACUAGGAAUAUAUGAUAUGUACAUACAUCUUCAUAUAUGUUUAGUUUACAAAUAUAUGUGGUAUAUAACAGGGGACUGAUUUAGUUAGAUUUCAAGUUUGAAGGAAACCUAAAGGAUAAGCUGAAGGGAAAGAUAGAGAAAAUAGAGGCCUAAACUAAGCCCGGUAGUGGGAGUUAAAAAGAAAGGAUGAAUACAAAAUUUCUGCAUUAAAAUGAGUGGUACCGUUUGUCCCUCAGUAUCUGCAGAGAAUUAGUUCCAGGACCCCCAUUUACCAAAACCUGGGGAUGCUCAAGUCCCUUAUAGUUGAGCCUCUGUACCUGCAAAUCCCUGCAGGUACAGAGGACCAACAGUAUUUGGACAGCAGUGAAUAAAGAAUCUGGGCAAGGGCUGGGAAAUGAGUGAUACAGCAUCAAU